AAGGAUGUUAGGACAGCAAGUUGUUAUGGAGUGAGUGGGGGGUUUAGAACUAGGCUGAAUUGAGUUCAAACACUUUGUAGCUGUGUGCCCAGCUAGGCCCAUCCUUAAGCUUCUCAAUUUCAGUUUCAUCUUCUCAUCUCUAAAUUGUAAGUCUCGCAGCUCUCAGAGGACAGGGAUCAAGGCCGGCUCACCGUGUGUCUCCUGCCCACAGCCCCGGCCUGGCACAUGAUCCCCUUCUAGCUUCCGGACCUGGGCCUGCAGGGCCGCCUCCUGGGCCUGGAAGUUCUUCCGGAGGUCGGUCUCCUUCUCCUGCCACUGCCACAGGGCCUCGCUCACCGACUGCUGCAUGGCCUGCUGGACGGCCUCGUUCUCCCGCUCGUACGUGGCCUGCAGCUCCUCGGCCUUCCGAGCAUAGUCCUUGCUCAGCUGCUGGUUCUCCGCUCGCAGCCGCUCCACUUCCAGCAGGACCUCCCGCAUUUCGGGGCCGCAGCCCGGCUCGGCCUGGGGCUUGGGACCCUGCUGGGCGAGCCCGCCCCACCCGGGCGCCUCGUGGCUGCUCAUGUGCCGGAGCCUCUUCUCGUAGUCGGCCUUGAGCUCCAGCAUCUCCUUGGAGAGGGUGAGCACCCGCUCGGCGUGCUCGGCCUCCACCCUCAGCUCCCUCUCCUGGGUCUCCAGCCUGCAAGCGGCCGACCGGGCCAGCGCCUCCUGCGUCAGCCGCUUCUGCAGCUCCAGGGCGCUCUCCAGGGCCUGGACGCGCUGUCUCAGGGCCUCCUCGCCCGCGCGGCCCUGCGCCUGCAGGAGCCUGGCCUCCGUCUCGGCCACCGCCUUCCGCAGCUCCUCCUGGUGGACCUCACGCAGCGCCUCCAUGCCCGCCUCCGCCUCAUCCUGGCGGGUGUUGAGGGUAUAGAUCACCUGCGGGAGAAUUCGCGGAGCCGGGUUAGUGGGAGGGGCGUGGGUGUGGUUGAGGGGCCACGUGACCGGAGAGGGCCGUGACCCUGCCGUGACGUAGGCUGAUCCCCACGAGCUGCACCUGAGAAGAGGAUUUGAGUGGAAGUGAUUAGAAACUGUCCUCAGGAGAAACCGAGUUGCUGCAGAGAAACAGCCACCAAGCAGAGACCACGUUUCCUAGUCCCCUUGCAUCUAGAUGGGACCAUAUGACUAGUGAUUGCCAAUGGAAUGUGGCCAGAGGUGGAUGUGCGUCAUCUCAGGGCCAACGCUGGGGUUAGGGUUAAGGGGAGGGUUAAGAAGGAGGCAUGUCCUUUCCCGUCUCUUUUUCCAACUGCAAACUUACUGUGGAGUGCAAGAUGGAAGGUGCCUGGGUCCUCAGUGACUGAGUAGAAGGCCACCUGCCCACCAGGAGCACUGGCCUUGACCUCUACACGAACAAGAAAUAGACUAUUGUGUUGAGCCUCUGAAGUCUUGACAUUUAUUUGUUACCGCAGCCAUGAUCACCCUGGGAGAACUCACAGGACUCAGCAUAUAGUCAUACUCAUGGCUAUGAUUAAUC